UACAGAGGUGGCAAGCGUUGUUCGGAAUUACUGGGCGUAAAGGGCGCGUAGGCGGCCUUCUAAGUCAGACGUGAAAUCCCCAGGCUUAACUUGGGAACUGCGUCUGAUACUGGGAGGCUUGAGUGCGGGAGAGGGAUGUGGAAUUCCCGGUGUAGAGGUGAAAUUCGUAGAUAUCGGGAGGAACACCGGUGGCGAAGGCGGCGACCUGGGUAGAUACUGACGCUGAGGUGCGAAAGCGUGGGGAGCAAACAGG
rnacentral:rRNA from 1 species